rnacentral:rRNA from 1 species
AGCAGCCGCGGUAAUUCCAGCUCCAAUAGCGUAUAUUAAAGUUGUUGCAGUUAAAAAGCUCGUAGUUGAAUUUCGAGAUCGGCUUACUGGUCGUGCUUUUGUACGUACUGGUAUAAUCGGUUUCUCCUUUCUGACGAACUUUAAUGCCAUUAAUUUGGUGUUUUAGGAAAUCAGGACUGUUACUUUGAAAAAAUUAGAGUGUUUAAAGCAGGCUCACGCUUGAAUACAUUAGCAUGGAAUAACGGAAUAGGACGUUUGAUUCUAUUUUGUUGGUUUCUAGGAUCGACGUAAUGAUUAAUAGGGAUAGUUGGGGGCAUUAGUAUUCAAUUGUCAGAGGUGAAAUUCUUGGAUUUAUUGAAGACUAACUACUGCGAAAGCAUUUGCCAGGAUGUUUCAUUAAUCAAGAACGAAAGUUAGGGAUCGAAGACGAUCAGAUACCGUCGUAGUCUUAACCAUAAACUAUGCCGACUAGGGAUCGGAUGAUGUUAAUUUUUAAUGUACUCAUUCGGCGCCUUACGGG